CGGCGACGUCACUGGGGCGUUAGGGUCCUUGCAGCUGGGCAGUUUUCUCCUCAGCGUGUAGCCUGGUAACCACGACCUCUCCGCCAGGUCCUGUGUGUUGCUGGCUGGAGAAGGGUAGUUGAAAACUCAGACCAAGCACAGUGUUUAUUUUGGUCAAAACUAGAAGACUAUGUCCAGGCGCGGCCGAGGCUGAAGGAUCCCUUCAGGCCAAGAGCAACCUAGCAAUAUGGCGCGACCGGAUCUCUGUAGUCCUGCCUCAGCCCCCCAGCUACUUGAACCCGAAAGUUCGAGGCUCCAAUGAGCUAUGAUCCCACCACAGCAUUGCAGCCUGCCAGACUGAGACAUGAACUUAUGAAUUCAACACAUGAAGACUUACAACUUGAUAAACCAGCUUUAGGAGAUUUUGAAAACUUGUAUUCCUGUGAUUUCGAUAGUGAAGGAAGUAUGGUAUACCAGAAUCACUAAAUUAUGAAAGAUGGUGGAUCAGCUUUUUGCAAAAAAAUCUGCUGAAGCCUUGGGGAGCACUGAAGCCAAGGCGGUACCAUACCAAAAAUUUGAAACACAUGUGAAUGAGCUGAAUGUGGAAGGACUACUGGAAAACAUUCCUUUUAGAAGCCCCUCAUUACAUGGAAUCCCAAGGCUCGAAAACAUCUUUCAAGUGGGCAAUCGAAUUAAGUUUGUUAUUAAGAGGUAAGAUGAUAAUCUGCAGAAACAAAUCCAUUGUCUUCCCUAAGGAAAAAUUAAUUUGACCAAGAUGGGCCUUUUGUUCCCCUCUCAUCAUGACUUCUUUAUUUUAAAAUUAACAUUUAGAUUCAUUUAUUGAACAAACAUUUAUUUAGUAUAAGCAUCAGAUGUGCAAAACUGGUUCUAGCAAGAACCCUGUCCUUGGGAGGCUUAAUACUCAGAAAAAUGCAAUGAAGAGUUAUUGAGCAUUUUUUGGGGAGAAGGCAAGGAUGGCACACCCAGAUCAGUCACUUGUGCAUCCAGAAGGGAGGCAGUGUGUUUCAAAUAUGAGUAAAGGCAGAGAGGAGUCAAAUAUGCUCACAUAUUCACAUACAUUACCCAUUCUGUGUGGAGUGAGGAGUGCCAUGUGGGCGUGGUGGGAUUGCCUAGAUAGACUUUUGUGGCCAAAUGGAGGAAGGCCUUGGCUCCUACAAAAGCAGUGGCAGUCAUUAAAUGGUCUCAUAGCAGUUUCCUCUUAAAAUAAUUUGGAUCUGCCCUUUAGAAAAGUUAUUCUGGCUUGAUUUUGAAGGGUAACACAUGAGUAGUUUGAGUGUUGGGGGGUAGGAACAGAAAGCCUCUCUCUACUCAUGGAAGGAAUGUUGAAGUGGGUAGAGUCUUGCUUACUGAUUGAAGUUGUGCAUCUGUGUAUAUUCGUUGGGACUGAGUUAUAACGGAGAGGAAAGUUUUAAGAUGAUACAGCAAGCUGCUUCUGGCUGUGCUGUGGGACAGUUCAUCUAAGAUUCAGAAAUAUAAUUGGGCUGGUUCGGGGGAAAAGUGACUUUUGCAUAUUUAUCUUACAAAAAAGAUGACUUUGGAGACAUCCAGGUGGUCUCACCUGAAUGUCUGAAAAUUGCUAUUUUCAAAAUUCAAGUCACCAAAAUGAUUUUUUUCACUGUAAAAUGAAGGCAGAAUGGAUUAUGUUUAAAAAUUGGCUGGGCGCAGUGGCUCAUGCUUGUAAUCCCAGCACUUUGGGAGGCUCAGGCGGGUGGAUUACCUGAGGCCAGGAGUUCAAGACCAGUCUGGCCAACAUGGCAAAACCCUGUGUCUACUAAAAGUACAAAAAUCAGCCAGGUGUGGUAGUGUGAACUUGCGGUCCCAGCUACUCGGGAGUCUGAGGCGGGAGAAUAGCUUGAACCUGGGAGGCGGAG